rnacentral:rRNA from 1 species
UGCUUCCAGGAAAAGCCUCUAAGCAUCAGGUAACAUCAAAUCGUACCCCAAACCGACACAGGUGGUCAGGUAGAGAAUACCAAGGCGCUUGAGAGAACUCGGGUGAAGGAACUAGGCAAAAUGGUGCCGUAACUUCGGGAGAAGGCACGCUGAUAUGUAGGUGAAGUCCCUCGCGGAUGGAGCUGAAAUCAGUCGAAGAUACCAGCUGGCUGCAACUGUUUAUUAAAAACACAGCACUGUGCAAACACGAAAGUGGACGUAUACGGUGUGACGCCUGCCCGGUGCCGGAAGGUUAAUUGAUGGGGUCAGCGCAAGCGAAGCUCUUGAUCGAAGCCCCGGUAAACGGCGGCCGUAACUAUAACGGUCCUAAGGUAGCGAAAUUCCUUGUCGGGUAAGUUCCGACCUGCACGAAUGGCGUAAUGAUGGCCAGGCUGUCUCCACCCGAGACUCAGUGAAAUUGAACUCGCUGUGAAGAUGCAGUGUACCCGCGGCAAGACGGAAAGACCCCGUGAACCUUUACUAUAGCUUGACACUGAACAUUGAGCCUUGAUGUGUAGGAUAGGUGGGAGGCUUUGAAGUGUGGACGCCAGUCUGCAUGGAGCCGACCUUGAAAUACCACCCUUUAAUGUUUGAUGUUCUAACGUGGACCCGUGAUCCGGGUUGCGGACAGUGUCUGGUGGGUAGUUUGACUGGGGCGGUCUCCUCCUAAAGAGUAACGGAGGAGCACGAAGGUUGGCUAAUCCUGGUCGGACAUCAGGAGGUUAGUGCAAUGGCAUAAGCCAGCUUGACUGCGAGCGUGACGGCGCGAGCAGGUGCGAAAGCAGGUCAUAGUGAUCCGGUGGUUCUGAAUGGAAGGGCCAUCGCUCAACGGAUAAAAGGUACUCCGGGGAUAACAGGCUGAUACCGCCCAAGAGUUCAUAUCGACGGCGGUGUUUGGCACCUCGAUGUCGGCUCAUCACAUCCUGGGGCUGAAGUAGGUCCCAAGGGUAUGGCUGUUCGCCAUUUAAAGUGGUACGCGAGCUGGGUUUAGAACGUCGUGAGACAGUUCGGUCCCUAUCUGCCGUGGGCGCUGGAGAACUGAGGGGGGCUGCUCCUAGUACGAGAGGACCGGAGUGGACGCAUCACUGGUGUUCGGGUUGUCAUGCCAAUGGCACUGCCCGGUAGCUAAAUGCGGAAGAGAUAAGUGCUGAAAGCAUCUAAGCACGAAACUUGCCCCGAGAUGAGUUCUCCCUGACCCUUUAAGGGUCCUGAAGGAACGUUGAAGACGACGACGUUGAUAGGCCGGGUGUGUAAGCGCAGCGAUGCGUUGAGCUAACCGGUACUAAUGAACCGUGAGGCUUAACCUUACAACGCCGAAGGUGUUU